AAAACUGUCUUUGCAAAAAAUUAUAACAGUAAGGAAAUUACGACAGUGAAAGAUUGGGUCUCACCAAUCCCCAUCUUGCCUUCAACAUCCAAACUGCCUUUAAUCAUAUCUGGGCUUGGGCCAAGCAAACUUUGGGAGACAUUUAGUUUAUAGUUUAAAUGAUAAUAUCCCUUCUCCAAAACUCAACCGCCUUCGUAAAGCUAAUGAGAGACCGCCAGGCGAGGAGGAUGAGAAGAGCCUGAAUUCUGCUGAGAUGUAGACUAAACGAUUACCAGCCAUUAUUCCAGAGGUCACAAGAUUUGCAACCCCCCAAUAACUCCUACAGAUUACGUCACUAUUACAGAAACUAAGAUUGGCCUUUUGAGAUAAGGUUUCAGGUUUGUGCAUUUCUGACAACCAACGGCUCCACUUGGACCCGCCAAACUCCCUCUGGCCCCACCCAGAAGUGAACUCGGCAGACAAGGACCAUUUUUCACACCCCUAUGAUUGCAUCCCCAACCAGUUAGCAGCACCCCUACCCUAGCCCCCUGCCCACCAAAUUAUCAUUACCUCUGAAUUCUCAGGGAGAUCAAGUUGAGUAAUAAUAAAACUCCAGUCUCUCAUUCAGCUGGCUGUAUGUGAAGUAAGCUCUUUCUCUAUUGCAAUUGCCCUGUCUUGGUAAGUCAGCUCUCUCUGGACAGCCAGCAAAAUGAACCCAUUGCACACGGUUACAGUCUCAUCUCUACCGGCUGUAGACUUGCCUCCUCUGUUGGAGCUCAUCAAGGCUGGGUCUUUCCUGUUCUCAUUUUAUUCUCUCUCUUUAGGUGAUCUCAGCCCUCCUCUAGGCUUCGAUUAUAACUUACAGGAUUGUGAUUCACACAUUUCAGUUUCCACCACAGGCCCCUCCAGACAUGUCCAUCUGCCUGCUGUGUUGACUUUUCCCUUUGGAGUCUUGAGGCAGCUACAAGCUUACUGACCAGAAAUGAACUCAAGCUCUCCCCGAAGCCUGGUCCUCUUCCAGGAUCAGCCAGCCUGGAAGAUGGCACUGUCAUCCACCCUGUUCUCAGGCCUGCCACCCAGGAGUCAACCUUAGCCCCAUCUAAUUGUCAGAGGCAUCUGAACCAGAGCAACUCCAUCUUGAGUAGGGGAUGGGUAAAAUGAGGCUGAGACCUGCUGGGCUGCAUUCCCAGACAGCCAAGGCAUUAGCCACAGGAUAAGAUAGGAGGUCGGUACAAGACACAGGUCAUAAAGACCUUGCUGAUAAAACAGUUUGCAGUAAAGAAGCCAGCCAAAACCCACUAAAACCAAGAUGGCAACGAGAGUGACCUCUGGUCGUCCUCACUGCUACCCUCCCACCAGCACCAUGACAGUUUACAAAUGCCAUGGCAAUGUCAGAAAGUUACCCUAUAGGGUCUAAAAAGGGGAGGCAUGAAUAAUCUACCCCUUGUUUAGCAUAUCAUCAAGAAAUAACCAUAAAAAUAGGCAACCAGCAGCCCUCAGGGAUGCUCUGUCUAUGGAGUAGCCAUUCUUUUGUUCCUUUACUCUCUUAAUAAACUUGCUUUCACUUUACUCUAUGGACUCGCCCUGAAUUCUCUCUUGUGCAAGAUCCAAGAACCCUCUCUUGGGGUCUGGAUCGGAACCCCUUUCCUGUAACAUAAUCAAUUUGGUGCCAAAUGCAUGAAGUGUUAUCUUCUAGGUCUCUCAAAUCCAUCCACUGUUCUCCAUCCAGGAGAGUGUCACCAGGGCUGGCACAGAUGGUUGCAUACUGCAGAAAGGUCACCACGCAAGCCAUUACCUCUCACCUGUUCCAUGAAAAUACCAACUCAUCUCCUUCCCUUUUGGCCUCUCCAAGCCAUAUUCCAAUCCACAGCUAAAACGAUUUCAUUAAAAUGCAAAUCUAAUCCCGUUGUUCCUUUGCAUAACUGCCCUGGGGAGAGGCCCGGCCUCUGUCUCCCCGAGUCAUCACCCAUUAUGUGCCCCUGGUGUCCCCGUGUGGCCUGGCUCUUCCCUUCACUUCCCACAUCUCUGACUCCAUCUCUCCAAUGACACAAUCACCCAGAGACUGUCCCUCUCUUUUGUGGCUCUUACCAUCACUUGUGUUUGAUGUAUAAUAUUUAUUUCUGUGGAUCUUUGUCUUUGAUGAAUGUCUGGCACAUCAUAAUGAUAAGAAAUAUCCUUUC
rnacentral:lncRNA from 10 species